GUUGCAGUUAAAGCUCGUAGUUGAACCUUGGGCCUGGCUGGCCGGUCCGCCUCACCGCGUGCACUGGUCCGGCCGGGCCUUUCCUCCUGGGGAGCCGCAUGUCCUUCACUGGGUGUGUCGGGGAACCAGGACUUUUACUUUGAAAAAAUUAGAGUGUUCAAAGCAGGCCUAUGCUCGAAUACAUUAGCAUGGAAUAAUAGAAUAGGACGUGUGGUUCUAUUUUGUUGGUUUCUAGGACCGCCGUAAUGAUUAAUAGGGACAGUUGGGGGCAUCAGUAUUUAAUUGUCAGAGGUGAAAUUCUUGGAUUUAUUAAAGACUAACUACUGCGAAAGCAUUUGCCAAAGAUGUUUUCAUUAAUCAGGGAACAAAAGUUAGGGAAUCAAAAACAAUCAAAUACCGCCGAAUCCUUAACCAUAAACUAUGCCAACUAGGGAUCGGGCAAUGUUAUCUUUUUGACUCUCUCGGCCCCUUACGAAAAAUCAAAGUCUUUGGUUUCUGGGGGGAGUAUGGUCGCAGGGCUGACACUUAAAGAAUUUGACGGAGGGGCCCCCCCGAGAGUGGACCCUGCGGCUUAUUUUGACUCAACACGGAAAAACUCCCCGUGUCCAGACACUUAGAAGAUUGACAGAUUGAGAUCUCUUUCUUGAUUAUGUGGGGGGGGGUGCGUGCCCGCUCUUAUUUGGGGAGAGUGAUGUGUCUGCUUUAUUGCGAUAACGAAAGACACCUUACUGUUUAAAUAGCCCGGCUAGCUUUGGCUGGUCGUUGGCUUCUUAGAGGGACUAUCGCCCUCAGCCCGAAUGAGAGUUGGAGGAAAAAACAGGUCUGGUGAUGCCUUUAAAUUGUUCUGGCCCGCACGCGCGCCACCCUGAC
rnacentral:rRNA from 1 species